AACGAACGCUGGCGGCAGGCCUAACACAUGCAAGUCGAGCGCGCCCUUCGGGGUGAGCGGCAGACGGGUGAGUAACGCGUGGGAACGUGCCCUUCUCUGCGGAAUAGCCUCGGGAAACUGAGAGUAAUACCGCAUACGCCCUUUGGGGGAAAGAUUUAUCGGAGAAGGAUCGGCCCGCGUUGGAUUAGGUAGUUGGUGGGGUAAUGGCCCACCAAGCCGACGAUCCAUAGCUGGUUUGAGAGGAUGAUCAGCCACACUGGGACUGAGACACGGCCCAGACUCCUACGGGAGGCAGCAGUGGGGAAUCUUAGACAAUGGGGGCAACCCUGAUCUAGCCAUGCCGCGUGAGUGAUGAAGGCCUUAGGGUUGUAAAGCUCUUUCAGCUGGGAAGAUAAUGACGGUACCAGCAGAAGAAGCCCCGGCUAACUCCGUG
rnacentral:rRNA from 1 species